rnacentral:rRNA from 1 species
UGAUGGUCACUUAGCAUAGACCAACUUAGAGAUAAUACAGGAAAUCUCUGAAACUAUUUCGUGAUGGGGAUAGUGUUUUGCAAUUAUCGCACUUGAACAAGGAAUGCCUUGUACAGAUGUAUCAUUAAUGCAUCUGGAAUAAGU